rnacentral:rRNA from 1 species
AGUCACUGACAUUAGAUACCCGUGUAGUCCAGGGUGUAAACGCUGCCGACUUGGUGUUGGAGGCCCUUCGGGGGCAUUCAGUGCCGGAGAGAAGUUGUUAAGUCGGCCACUUGGGAGUACGUCCGCAAGGAUGAAACUUAAAGGAAUUGGCGGGGGAGCACCGCAACGGGAGGAGCGUGCGGUUUAAUUGGAUUCAACACCGGAAAACUCACCAAGGGCGACUGUUACAUGAAAGCCAGGCUAAUGACCUUGCUUGAUUUUCAG